rnacentral:rRNA from 1 species
GACGAACGCUGGCGGCGUGCUUAACACAUGCAAGUCGAACGGAAAGGCCCUGCUUUUGUGGGGUGCUCGAGUGGCGAACGGGUGAGCAACACGUGAGUAACCUGCCCUUGACUUUGGGAUAACUUCAGGAAACUGGGGCUAAUACAGGAUAGGAGCUCCUGCUGCAUGGUGGGGGUUGGAAAGUUUCGGCGGUUGGGGAUGGACUCGCGGCUUAUCAGCUUGUUGGUGGGGUAGUGGCUUACCAAGGCUUUGACGGGUAGCCGGCCUGAGAGGGUGACCGGCCACAUUGGGACUGAGAUACGGCCCAGACUCCUACGGGAGGCAGCAGUGGGGAAUAUUGCACAAUGGGCGGAAGCCUGAUGCAGCAACGCCGCGUGCGGGAUGACGGCCUUCGGGUUGUAAACCGCUUUCGCCUGUGACGAAGCGUGAGUGACGGUAAUGGGUAAAGAAGCACCGGCUAACUACGUGCCAGCAGCCGCGGUGAUACGUAGGGUGCGAGCGUUGUCCGGAUUUAUUGGGCGUAAAGGGCUCGUAGGUGGUUGAUCGCGUCGGAAGUGUAAUCUUGGGGCUUAACCCUGAGCGUGCUUUCGAUACGGGUUGACUUGAGGAAGGUAGGGGAGAAUGGAAUUCCUGGUGGAGCGGUGGAAUGCGCAGAUAUCAGGAGGAACACCAGUGGCGAAGGCGGUUCUCUGGGCCUUUCCUGACGCUGAGGGGCGAAAGCGUGGGGAGCGAACAGGCUUAGAUACCCUGGUAGUCCACGCUGUAAACGGUGGGUACUAGGUGUGGGGUCCAUUCCACGGGCUCCGUGCCGUAGCUAACGCUUUAAGUACCCCGCCUGGGGAGUACGGCCGCAAGGCUAAAACUCAAAGGAAUUGACGGGGCCCCGCACAAGCGGCGGAGCAUGCGGAUUAAUUCGAUGCAACGCGUAGAACCUUACCUGGGUUUGACAUGGAUCGGGAGUGCUCAGAGAUGGGUGUGCCUCUUUUGGGGUCGGUUCACAGGUGGUGCAUGGCUGUCGUCAGCUCGUGUCGUGAGAUGUUGGGUUAAGUCCCGCAACGAGCGCAACCCUUGUUCACUGUUGCCAGCACGUUAUGGUGGGGACUCAGUGGAGACCCCCGGGGUCAACUCGGAGGAAGGUGGGGAUGACGUCAAGUCAUCAUGCCCCUUAUGUCCAGGGCUUCACGCAUGCUACAAUGGCUGGUACAGAGAGUGGCGAGCCUGUGAGGGUGAGCGAAUCUCGGAAAGCCGGUCUCAGUUCGGAUUGGGGUCUGCAACUCGACCUCGUGAAGUCGGAGUCGCUAGUAAUCGCAGAUCAGCAACGCUGCGGUGAAUACGUUCCCGGGGCU